rnacentral:rRNA from 2 species
GCUUGCUGGGUGGAUUAGUGGCGAACGGGUGAGUAACACGUGAGUAACCUGCCCUUGACUCUGGGAUAAGCCUGGGAAACUGGGUCUAAUACCGGAUAUGACUGCUCCGCGCAUGCGGUGGUGGUGGAAAGCUUUUGCGGUUUUGGAUGGACUCGCGGCCUAUCAGCUUGUUGGUGGGGUAAUGGCCUACCAAGGCGACGACGGGUAGCCGGCCUGAGAGGGUGACCGGCCACACUGGGACUGAGACACGGCCCAGACUCCUACGGGAGGCAGCAGUGGGGAAUAUUGCACAAUGGGCGCAAGCCUGAUGCAGCGACGCCGCGUGAGGGAUGACGGCCUUCGGGUUGUAAACCUCUUUCAGUAGGGAAGAAGCUUUCGGGUGACGGUACCUGCAGAAGAAGCGCCGGCUAACUACGUGCCAGCAGCCGCGGUAAUACGUAGGGCGCAGGCGUUAUCCGGAAUUAUUGGGGCGUAAAGAGCUCGUAAGCGGUUUGUCGCGUCUGCUGUGAAAGACCGGGGCUCAACUCCGGUUCUGCAGUGGGGUACGGGCAGACUAAAGUGAUGUAGGGGAAACUGGAAUUCCUGGUUGUAGCGGUGAAAUGCGCAGAUAU